rnacentral:rRNA from 1 species
UACGAGAGGCCCAAACGUUAUUCGGAUUUACUGGGCUUAAAGAGUUCGUAGGCGGCGCAGAAAGUAGGGUGUGAAAUCUCCCGGCUCAACCGGGAGGGUGCGCCGAAAACUGGGAGACUAGAGUGCGGGAUGGGAGAGUAGAAUUCCUGGUGUAGCGGUGAAAUGCGUAGAUAUCAGGAGGAAUACCGGUGGUGUAGACGGCUCUCUGGACCGCCACUGACGCUGAGACACGAAAGCGUGGGUAGCAAACAGG